rnacentral:rRNA from 1 species
UGAGUACGAGCUGCUACGGCAGCGAAGUGGGUGAUGUCAAGCUUCCAAGAAAAGCCCUAUACCCGUUAAGGCAUGACGGCCUGUACCCGAAACCGACACAGGUGGGGUGGUAGAGAAUACCGAGGGGCGCGAGAUAACUCUCUCUAAGGAACUCGGCAAAAUGGCCCCGUAACUUCGGGAGAAGGGGUGCCACCGCAAGGUGGUCGCAGUGAAGAGGCCCAGGCGACUGUUUACCAAAAACACAGGUCUCCGCUAAGUCGCAAGACGAUGUAUGGGGGCUGACGCCUGCCCAGUGCCGGAAGGUUAAGGAAGCUGGUCAGCGCAAGCGAAGCUAGCGACUGAAGCCCCGGUGAACGGCGGCCGUAACUAUAACGGUCCUAAGGUAGCGAAAUUCCUUGUCGGGUAAGUUCCGACCCGCACGAAAGGCGUAACGAUCUGGGCGCUGUCUCGGAGAGAGGCUCGGCGAAAUAGAAUUGUCUGUGAAGAUGCGGACUACGUGCACCCGGACAGAAAGACCCUAUGAAGCUUUACUGUAGCUUGGUAUUGUGCCCGGGCUCUGAAUGCGCAGGAUAGGUGGGAGGCUUUGAUCCAUUGCUUGUGGGUAAUGGUGAGCCACUGGUGAGAUACCACUCUUUCAGAGCUAGGGUUCUAACGGUCACCCGUUAUCCGGGGACCGGACAGUAUCAGGUGGGCAGUUUGACUGGGGCGGUCGCCUUCUAAAAGGUAACGGAGGCGCGCAAAGGUUCCCUCAGGCUGGUUGGAAAUCAGCCGACGAGUGUAAAGGCAGAAGGGAGCUUGACUGUGAGACCUACAAGUCGAACAGGGACGAAAGUCGGCCUUAGUGAUCCGACGGUUCUGAGUGGAAGGGCCGUCGCUCAACGGAUAAAAGUUACUCUAGGAUAACAGGCUGAUCUCCCCCAAGAGUUCACAUCGACGGGGAGGUUUGGCACCUCGAUGUCGGCUCAUCGCAACCUGGGGCUGAAGUCGGUCCCAAGGGUUGGGCUGUUCGCCCAUUAAAGCGGUACGCGAGCUGGGUUCAGAACGUCGUGAGACAGUUCGGUCCAUAUCCGGUGCACGCGCAGGAACAUUGAGAGGAUUUCUCCCUAGUACGAGAGGACCGGGAGGAACGCACCUCUGGUGUACCUGUUAUCGUGCCAACGGUAAACGCUGGGUAGCCAUGUGCGGAGCGGAUAACCGCUGAAAGCAUCUAAGUGGGAAGCCCACCUCAAGAUGAGUGUUCCCAUGGCAUAAGCCAGUAAGGUCACGGGAAGAACACCCGUUGAUAGGCUCUACGUGGAAGCGUGGCAACACGUGAAGCGGAGGAGUACUAAUAGACCGAGGGCUUGACC